rnacentral:rRNA from 1 species
AUUGAACGCUGGCGGCAGGCCUAACACAUGCAAGUCGAACGGCAGCACGGGUAGCAAUACCUGGUGGCGAGUGGCGCACAGGUGCGUAACGCGUAUGCAACCUACCUAUAACCGGGGAAUAGCCUUCUGAAAGGAAGAUUAAUACCGCAUAAUAUCACUGGACGGCAUCGCCCGGUGAUCAAAACUCCGGUGGUUAUAGAUGGGCAUGCGUGACAUUAGCUAGUUGGUGAGGUAACGGCUCACCAAGGCUACGAUGUCUAGGGGGUCUGAGAGGAUGAUCCCCCACACUGGUACUGAGACACGGACCAGACUCCUACGGGAGGCAGCAGUAAGGAAUAUUGGACAAUGGGCGCAAGCCUGAUCCAGCCAUGCCGCGUGAAGGAUGACGGCCCUCUGGGUUGUAAACUUCUUUUAUACGGGAAUAAACCCCUCGAUUCUUCGGGGGCUGAAUGUACUGUAAGAAUAAGGAUCGGCUAACUUCGUGCCAGCAGCCGCCGCAGUAA